UCUGACUUUGGGUGGAAGCAGCUUUAGGAUUCCUGCUAUCUCUUGGUAUGCCAGGGAGCACAUGGCUCUGUGCUUGUCUCUUGCCCUCAGUUGGAUGCUGAUCUGGAUGAAAGGAUGAUUAGAAUUGCAUAUCCUGAGAACCAGGAGGAUGAGCAUGAAGGAAGGUAUGUGAGCAAGAGUUGCCACAGCAGUUCCAACACAGACGAGGAGCAUGAAGGGAAUCACCAGGUUAUAUCUUCUCUACAUUAAGACAAUUGGAAGCCCACCUGAUUGCAAAGCAGGUUUGUGAUACUCCACUCAUAUUGUUACACAAGCACUUAACUAAUAAACUAUUUCCUCUUCCAAUCAAAGUGGGGGAGAGAUGAAAAGAAUCAUUUUAUAUUUUCCUAUUUCCCAAAAUUCAUAUUAAUUUGAUACUACCCUUCCCCACAAAGGCUCAAAACAUAUAUUUCAUUGCUCAUCACAUAAUCCAAAGGCUUCUUCUCCCUCUUUCUCUCUCUCUCUCUUUCUCUCACUUUGACUGUCAAAGCUGUACCCAAGCAAUAAUCUCAUUAAAAUGUCACAUAUUCACCCAGCCUCUUCUUGAAUGCUUCCAGGGAGAGUUACCUUAUUACCUUCCAAGGUAGCUCAUUCUUUUGAAUAGUUCUGAUUGGUAGAGCAAAUAUUUUUUUUCCCAAUGACCCCAAAUCUGCCUCUCUAAUAUUUCCAGUCCCUUUGGGGUCAGGCAGAACAAAACUAAUAACUUUUCUAUAUGAUAACCCUUCCUUAUCCUCAAAUUCAAGUUGAAGAGACUUAUCCUAUAAUGGUUCCUCCCUUUUAACUACUUAAUAUAAAUCUUUUGCAUUGUCUAGGUCAGUUUCCUUUCUUACCAUCUUUUCUUCUUUUCUAUUCUUCAAGACCUAGCUUAAGCUUCAGCUUCUCAUGGAAGCCUUUACUGACCACUCUUACCCAUCGUGAUUUCUUCUUCCUCUAAAGUCUGUACUCACACUUUAAGUCUCCCUAGGUUAAUAAAGAAUAGGCCAUUGAAAUAUGAGCCCAGACAGGUUCUGCUGUGUUAGAAAUAUUUUAAGAAGUAUCUUAUCAAUAGAUGGUCAGAUUAUCUUAGUGUGAUCAGAGUAUAGAUUUGGAGUUGGAAGAAACCUUAGGGAUUCUGAAUUUCAACCUCCUUUUACAGAUGAGGAAACUGAGGCAUAGAGAUUAAGUAAGUUCAUAUAACUAGGAAGUAUGGGAUUUGAACCCAGGGCUCCCUAAAAAGUCUAGCUCUCUGUUUAGCAUGUACAGAGAGGUUCUCCACAAGAAACUUGGCCCAUUUGGCUGUGAAUUCUGUGUCCAUGAAAAUUUGUGAAUGGUGGCAGUGGCAGAACAGAAAAGGGUUAUUACAUGGCACAGAAGAUAGAAGGCUGGGCUUGAAAUCAGGAAGAUGGCUACUAGUGUGACCCUCAUCAAGUUAUUCAAUUGCUUUCAGUCUCAGUUUCCACAUCUGUAAAAUGGGAAUGAUAGAACUUGCUUACUCCAGUGGCACAAUCUUUGUUAAUAUAAGUAAAACACUCUAUAAACUAUAAAGUACUAUACACAUUCAAGCUAUCAUCAUCACUAUCAUUGGGGGGUGAAGGGGUGGGGUGGUUUAGAGUGCUGAGAAUCAUACAAUUGUUUUAUCAUCUCUAAAUAUUAGCUUAUCUAUUGAUGUUCUACAAGUGAGAUUCUUGUCCAUUGACUAAAGAACAAAUGAACUAAUAGAAGAACCGAAGCAUAUCAAUUUGCCAUCUUCAGUAUGAUUAAACCAGAAGACAGGAAGUCACAGCUACAAAGAGAGACAGCUUACUGGGUCUUCUUAGAGACACAAAUAAAGGAAUUGGUGGAGCUAGUUUUAUGGUUCAUCAAAGGCAAGAAAAAAAUUGUUUCCAAGAACAUGCCAUCUUAUAUUGCAGUGGCCUUGUGAAAUGUUUGUAAAAAUGCCACUAUAGAGAUAAUGGUAGUUUCUGUGCCAGCAUUUAUUGCAAAGGAUGAUGCUUUGAUGUAGAGAAGUUCUAAGAAGAAUUCAAUAAGACUCUUCCAAUUAAAUCAAUUUCUAUUUUAAUAUGCUUAGAGACUUCAGUGGGAGGGCAGGCAUAGGGAAGAAAAGCAGAACAUGUUGAAAAACAUUAUUCCAAUAAAGGGAGAAACAAGAGUUGCUAAAGAAUUAUCAGAACUCUCUCUCCGCGUCUCUCUUUGUCUCUCUCUUUAUUCCCUCUCUCUACUUCUCUUUCCCCCAUGCACUCCUCCCUUCCUCUCUUUCUCUUUCUCCCUCCCUCCUUCUCUCUAUCUCUUUCUUCCUUACUCCCUUUCUCUCCCUCUCUCCCAUCUUCUCCCAUCUCUCCCUUCCUUCCUCACUCCAUUCUCUCCCUCCCUCCCUUCUCCCCUCCUUUUCCUC